rnacentral:rRNA from 1 species
AGUGAACGCUGGCGGCAGGCCUAACACAUGCAAGUCGAGCGGCAGCGGGUCCCCGCGAGGGGAGUGCCGGCGAGCGGCGGACGGGUGAGGAACACAUCGGAAUCUGCCUGGUUGUGGGGGAGUAACGUAGGGAAACUUACGCUAAUACUGGAUAUGACUCCAUGACGCAUGUUGUGGGGUGGAAAGCCUUGUGCGGCUGAGGAUGGGCCCGCGGCCUAUCAGCUGUUGGUGGGGUGAUGGCCUACCAAGCGACGACGGGUAGCCGGCCUGAGAGGGCGACCGGCCACACUGGGACUGAGACACGGCCCAGACUCCUACGGGAGGCAGCAGUGGGGAAUCUUGCGCAAUGGGCGAAAGCCUGACGCAGCGACGCCGCGUGAGGGAUGACGG